rnacentral:miRNA from 1 species
UCCUAACAGCAGGAGUAGGAGC